AACAACAGCGAUACGCCGGAAGUUAAAGCCUAGAUACUAUUCGAUAAACGGAACUUUCAGAAUCGGCCGGAGAUCAAGAUGAUGCAGCCCUGCCAACCCGCACGAACUCGUGAGAAAGGAAAAUAAACGGCGAAGUCGCCUGCUCAAAAGUAGAUGCGCAGAAGAAAGUAACUUGUUGUAUUGAUUGAUUGUUGUGUUUACAGAUUUACAAAGGUAGCUAUUUAUAGCCCCGUACAAAUAAUCUUCUUAACCGACUAAGACUCUAUCUCUAAUUCAAA
rnacentral:lncRNA from 1 species